rnacentral:tmRNA from 1 species
GGGGCCGACCGGUUUCGACGUGGGUCGCGAACCUUCAGGGGCGUGCCGAGGUGCAGUGGCCCUCGUUAAACUCUGCUGCAAACUUUAGUUGCCAACGACGACAACUACGCUCUGGCGGCUUAAUCCCGCCUAACCUCUGACCGGCUGGUGCCUGUGACACCGAAUCAGGGGACGCGCUUACAGGAUCGCGGGCCACCGUGCGACGGGGUGGUUCCGUUAAGAGUCACCGUCGCUGGUCGGGCGUCUUCCCUGCUGCUCGGGUAGCGUUUCGGCGAGAAUCAAAGAGACAGCUACGCGCGUAGAUCCUGAAGUCUAGGGCUUGCGGACGCGGGUUCAAUUCCCGCCGGCUCCACCA